GAUGAACUCUUUCUUCGUGCCUAAUACAUGCAAGUCGAGCGAACAGACGAGGAGCUUGCUCCUCUGACGUUAGCGGCGGACGGGUGAGUAACACGUGGAUAACCUACCUAUAAGACUGGGAUAACUUCGGGAAACCGGAGCUAAUACCGGAUAAUAUAUUGAACCGCAUGGUUCAAUAGUGAAAGACGGUUUUGCUGUCACUUAUAGAUGGAUCCGCGCCGCAUUAGCUAGUUGGUAAGGUAACGGCUUACCAAGGCAACGAUGCGUAGCCGACCUGAGAGGGUGAUCGGCCACACUGGAACUGAGACACGGUCCAGACUCCUACGGGAGGCAGCAGUAGGGAAUCUUCCGCAAUGGGCGAAAGCUUGACGGAGCAACGCCGCGUGAGUGAUGAAGGUCUUCGGAUCGUAAAACUCUGUUAUUAGGGAAGAACAAAUGUGUAAGUAACUAUGCACGUCUUGACGGUACCUAAUCAGAAAGCCACGGCUAACUACGUG
rnacentral:rRNA from 1 species